AUUAAAAAUUUAAGCUGAAACCGACGAAAUCCACCCCUGACAACAAUCUAUAAUCACCAUAAUUAACAAGAAAUCUGUGAGCUUCUAUUCAUUGAGAUUAUCCCUAUAUCCUUCCCAGAAAAUGGGACAGAAGACAAUAAGGAUAGAGACAUACCUCAAUCCGUAGUACACAAGCUGACCCUCCAUAUCGCGAAUCUAGCGAAUUUUAUGUCAAUGGUUGCUGGGAAAACUGGUGUUGCAUUCAUUUUAGUCAAUCGAAUAGCUUCAGGGGGGAAUUUAAUAAU
rnacentral:lncRNA from 1 species